rnacentral:rRNA from 1 species
AUUGAAGAGUUUGAUCAUGGCUCAGAUUGAACGCUGGCGGCAGGCCUAACACAUGCAAGUCGAGCGGCAGCGGAAAGGAGUAUUCUUCUUUGCCGGCGAGCGGCGGAUGGGUGAGUAAUGUCUGGGGAUCUGCCCGAUGGAGAGGGAUAACUACUGGAAACGGUAGCUAAUACCGCAUAAAGUCAUAAGACCAAAGUAGGGGACCUUAGGGCCUUACACCAUCGGAUGAACCCAGAUAGGAUUAGCUAGUAGGUGUGGUAAUGGCUCACCUAGGCAACGAUCCUUAGCUGGUCUGAGAGGAUGAUCAGCCACACUGGAACUGAGAUACGGUCCAGACUCCUACGGGAGGCAGCAGUGGGGAAUAUUGCACAAUGGGGGAAACCCUGAUGCAGCCAUGCCGCGUGUGUGAAGAAGGCCUUCGGGUUGUAAAGCACUUUUAGUGGAGAGGAAGGCAAUAGUGUAAAUAGCACUAUUGAUUGACGUUACCCGCAGAAGAAGCACCGGCUAACUCCGUGCCAGCAGCCGCGGUAAUACGGAGGGUGCGAGCGUUAAUCGGAAUUACUGGGCGUAAAGCGUACGCAGGCAGUCUGUUAAGUCAGAUGUGAAAUCCCCAGGCUUAACCUGGGAACUGCAUUUGAAACUAGCAAACUAGAGUCUCGUAGAGGGGGGUAGAAUUCCAGGUGUAGCGGUGAAAUGCGUAGAUAUCUGGAGGAAUACCAGUGGCGAAGGCGGCCCCCUGGACGAAGACUGACGCUCAGGUACGAAAGCGUGGGGAGCAAACAGGAUUAGAUACCCUGGUAGUCCAUGCUGUAAACAAUGUCGAUUUGAAGGUUGUGGUCUUGAACUGUGGCUUUCGGAGCUAACGCGUUAAAUCGACCGCCUGGGGAGUACGGCCGCAAGGUUAAAACUCAAAUGAAUUGACGGGGGCCCGCACAAGCGGUGGAGCAUGUGGUUUAAUUCGAUGCAACGCGAAGAACCUUACCUACUCUUGACAUCCAGAGAACAAAGCAGAGAUGCUCUGGUGCCUUCGGGAACUCUGAGACAGGUGCUGCAUGGCUGUCGUCAGCUCGUGUUGUGAAAUGUUGGGUUAAGUCCCGCAACGAGCGCAACCCUUGUCCUUUGUUGCCAACGAUUCGGUCGGGAACUCAAAGGAGACUGCCGGUGAUAAACCGGAGGAAGGUGAGGAUGACGUCAAGUCAUCAUGGCCCUUACGAGUAGGGCUACACACGUGCUACAAUGACGCAUACAAAGAGAAGCGAUCUCGCAAGAGUUAGUAAAACUCACAAAGUGCGCCGUAGUUCGGAUUGGAGUCUGCAACCCGACUCCAUGAAGUCGGAAUCGCUAGUAAUCGUGGAUCAGAAUGCCACGGUGAAUACGUUCCCGGGCCUUGUACACACCGCCCGUCACACCAUGGGAGUGAGUUGCAAAAGAAGUAGGUAGCUUAACCCUAUGGGAGGGCGCUUACCACUUUGUGAUUCAUGACUGGGGUGAAGUCGUAACAAGGUAACCGUAGGGGAACCUGCGGUUGGAUCACCUCCUU